ACCAGGAUUUUCAGAGCCCCAUCCAGCCUGGCCUUGGACACUUCCAGGGAUGAGGAUUGAACCUAGAUGUGAAGCUGGGGCAGCUGCUUACUCUGAGAUCUUCAAGGAACUUCACUGAUCUGUUCCUGUUUUCACAUGGCUGGAUUCUGGAUGCUGCAAGGUUGUCAUGUCAGGAUGCUGCAAAAGAGAUUGUUGCGUCUUCUUCCUGUAAAGUUGUGGAGUUUCUCUCUGUGCAGGGGGUACAGCCUUCAUGGUCAGGAAAUUGUUUUCCUUGCUCUGUGGUUUUCUUGUUGAUGUUGCUCUUAAAGGGGUCAACACUCUUAGUUCCAGGAAACUGAAACUAAAUAUGAACAGGGACUGGAGGAAGGAAGCAGGGAGAAUCCCCUAUAAGAUUCCAAUGCAUCUUAUUUCUGGGAAAACUAAAUAAAACAGGAUUCAACUGCUAGUGGCUAAAUAGCAGCAAUUUAUGAGCUGUUCCUCAAAAGCCCCAGACAAGCACCAAGUCCUGUGGGAAGCUGGAGAUUGACACAGGACACCUCCAGAAGAGUCUGCUGUUGAAACUUCCUUUAAGCAUUUUUCUCAAGUGGAGCAUGCAGACCUGGCAAAUGCAUAAGGUCAGCCCUUAAAAGAGCAAAGAGCUCUCUCUAAGAAAAUCAAAUGAGUGGCCGAAGUCUGUCUAUUUGUCUGCCUGUCUUUUUGGCCUUGGACUACUGUGCUUUUCAAAGCUGUGCUUUCAUAACUCAGAUAAAAAGGUAGAUGUUUCAUAUAGCUCUACAAAUAAUAAUCAUCCUGUUCAUGCAAAAUAUCUGCUACCUGAGGGAUGGGCCUAAACCAGAGGUGUUUCUCAAUUGCUUACAAAGUGUCUGGCUUUAGCAUCUAUACAGUCAGUUUUUGUGAACACGAGUCCAUUGCCUGCUCUAACGAAGUUAGUGACUUAUUUUCAGUGGUUGUAGAGAGUUUCACUGAAAUAGCACUGUUUGUAGUCUGCUGUGUGACUUAGGAGGCACAAUCGCCAGACAAUUCUGCAAUUGUAAUAUAACUGUACAUGGUGUUCCCAGAAAAUUCUCUAAAGUCUUAUCCCAUUGCACCGUUGUGAUAAAAACCUCUGCUGCUUUUCAAGCUCCACGAGUCCAUGCUGUGCCAUGCUGAAAGUGAGAGAAAACCCAAUUAGCUCUGGAAAGUGAAGGGCAGAGAGGGGUGCUCUGGCCUGGAAUUCCCUCCCUUUGGCAGCAACAAAGGUCAGCCGUGCAGCCAAAUUUCCAUGGAUCCAGCUUGUGUGUGUUGCCAGCUCUCUGCACAGGAGAGUGGGAGGAUGGGUAGGAAGAAUUGAUUCUGGGAGGGCAGAGCCUGAAAGGGAGAGUGGAGUUAAAUGUGAUAGCUGAAUAUUCAAGAGGUAGUUUGAUGGAUGCUGGGCAUACAACUUCCCUGGAACUCUUUAUAAGUAACACCCUCUAUAUAUUCCUGAGUGACUUUUAGCCAGUCUGGCAGUUUUCAGUAUCUGUGUGUGAGGGAAAAGAGGUAGGAGGCAGCUGAUCCCUAUGAUUUGGCAGCUCUGGGAGUGAAGUACCUCCUUGUGGCUGCUGGCUGAGGGUCUGGAUCUCUGAGGAGCUUCCUGACUACCUGUGGCUCCCACAGGCUUGUAGGACUGGGCUUAGAGAAACCCUGAGCUGCCAGAUGGAGGCUGCUUCUGGUGCAGCUCUUCUGAGUAGUCACAGCCAUGGAUGUGAGCCUGCAGUCCUUGGGAGGCAAAAUGCACUCCACAAUCCCAAGGGACCUGCUUUGUCCCUCAGUGCAGGCCAGCUGUGGGAAUCCUCCAAGUUCCUUUAUGCCGAUCUGUGUGUCAAGGCCAUGUGGCUGACCAUGAGUGACCAGAGCUGCUAUGGACCCUUCCUGCAAGGGCAGUUGUCUUCAGAGUCAGCGUAGGUGCAGGCUACCUUUGGAAAAGAGUGAUUAUCCUGGGGAAAUCCAUGGGGCAGAAACCUUGGGCCAUACUGUGUGCUCACACUAUCAAUAGGGAUGAUAUUGACAGGGGUCUUUUGUGGGAAAACUUGCUCUGAUGCAUCAUUCCAAGGAGAACAGCAGGAGUUUGCAGGUCAGGCCAUGUGGUGAGAUACGUAAUUCCAGCUCCCUUACUGGAUCUGAUUUAUACAGGUCAGGUCCAACGUUUCUGAGAAAUUGUUGAUGGUGGGGGCUUUUUUUGUUUGUUUGUUUGAUUGAAAACUUGAAGCCUUUCAAAUAAAGAACGUGAGGUAUAGGGAAUUUUUAGCUGGAGUAUGUGCUUCAGGAUGCUUCCUGCAUUCAGGCUUUGAGAACACAAAUUCUCUGCAGAGAAUCCCACACACAGUGGGAGACAAGGUUAUUGGGCUUGGAAGUGCACCAGGGAGAUGGGACUUGAGUGAGCUUGGAACAGCAAUCAUUAUCAUUAGUGGCAGUGCCAUAGUAUGUGCUUGACUCAAAUCCAGCACUGCACAGGUGAGAACCUGAUGAAACAUUGUAAUUUGAUUUUUUGUGGUUGUUCCUGCCAGUGUGAUCCACUGUUGAAUAGGCUAGACAUGAAUAAAAUCAGUAUUUUUU